rnacentral:rRNA from 1 species
GACGAACGCUGGCGGCGCGCCUAAUACAUGCAAGUAGAACGCUGAAGGAGGAGCUUGCUUCUCUGGAUGAGUUGCGAACGGGUGAGUAACGCGUAGGUAACCUGCCUGGUAGCGGGGGAUAACUAUUGGAAACGAUAGCUAAUACCGCAUAAUAGUAGAUGUUGCAUGACAUUUGCUUAAAAGGUGCAAUUGCAUCACUACCAGAUGGACCUGCGUUGUAUUAGCUAGUUGGUGGGGUAACGGCUCACCAAGGCGACGAUACAUAGCCGACCUGAGAGGGGGAUCGGCCACACUGGGACUGAGACACGGCCCAGACUCCUACGGGAGGCAGCAGUAGGGAAUCUUCGGCAAUGGACGGAAGUCUGACCGAGCAACGCCGCGUGAGUGAAGAAGGUUUUCGGAUCGUAAAGCUCUGUUGUAAGAGAAGAACGAGUGUGAGAGUGGAAAGUUCACACUGUGACGGUAUCUUACCAGAAAGGGACGGCUAACUACGUG